GCAUUAAUGGGGUAGUGGUAACCUGGGUCGUUGCCAUCCUCGACAAGUUGCAUGCUUCUAUCGACCCGCCGGGGGUUCGAUUCCCCCUUAAUGCA